CUUAUCCUUCACCAGAGUCAAUUCCCACGCUCCGAUACUCUACGUUACGAUAAUUAUAAUAACGACGCUGCCGAGUCAUUUGCACCAUUUUUUUUUUCAAAGUGUGCUUACCCAAAUCAAAUCUCAUCAUAUUUUUAACAACAAUUAAACCCACCGAUGAUCGGAAGCGAUCCAAUGAGGAUAGUGAUGAGGAAGACAUCUAGGUGCAAGUAAAAUUUCUGGUGUUUCUGGCCUGGAACCUCUCCAAGAACUACCCGGUAACAUAAGAGGAUGAUACGACGAUGAUGGAACUGGAGGUAUUUACACAAUAUUGAAAAGCUGAAAAUGAUAAAUUACCUGGGAAACUAAUAGAGAAGUGACUACAAGUACAAUAGUCAGUGGAAAUAACACUGAUGGUGCUGAAGAAUAGUUGGCCAGGGCAUAACCCAUUGCCAGAUCAAAAACGACAUCGCAGAAAUAAGAUGCCAGAGAAAUUAUGUUGAAUAAAACAUCACAAAGUGGUAGAAAUUCAUGCUGUUGUUGUAGUUGCUGAUGCUGGGCCAUAAUGGGCCUCCGUGGGCCAUUGGGAUCAUCCAGUAGGUCGUUUCAGCAAUGUCAAAUGAUGAACAACAGUCUGCUAAACAAAUUUAAAAAUCAUAUUACUCAAAAUUAUCCAUUAUUUAGCUUUUGAAUAAUUAACUAACAUCAGCUAAAUUUUAUAAAAUAUUUUUUAUCAACAAUUUUUACUCCAAAAAUUGAAAAACUGUGGAUUCAAAUGACACAGUGGGAUUGUUUAUUCACCAAAUAACUUUAAAGAAAUGAACUAACUUGAUUUCUUGAGGUCACAAUCAUUACUAACGAUAAGUAAUUGUUGUAAAUGUAGCUCAAAUAUAAAAUACUCACCGCAUUCUUCACGUGUCAUUGACGAGAUCACUCAAGUGACAUUCUUAACCUGGAUGCUGCUGGUCAACCUGGACCAGCAGUGGAAUCUAAAGAAUUUGCUCCAGCAAUCCUAGUUUAUUUGGGGAUGAAAAACAUGAUAAAUUAUAAGAGAAGAAUUCGCACUACCUGUUGAUUCGACAGGACUAUUUUAUCGUACACAAAUACAAUUAAAGGACUUUUAGCUACAUAUAAAAUACAAAAGCAC